UUGGUUGAAAAGCCAGUGGCGC
rnacentral:siRNA from 1 species